rnacentral:lncRNA from 1 species
AUGAAGUGGGUGCCCUGGCUCAGGUGUUCUGGUCCCUGGCAGAAGGCAUGGGCUACAAUGACACGGCCCUUAAGGAUUAUUUCAAUGACUGUCUGGAUGAUCCGUUGCUUCAAUGGGAGAUGGAGGGGUUGGAGAUCCUGGACUUUUGGGGGUUUAUGGAUUACCUGCACCAUCGUGCUCAGUGGGAUGCAACAACCCCAUCUGAGUUUCCAGACAAGAUGGCCGCCAGCCCAACGCCACAGCACAAGAUGGCUGCUGAGCCAGCGCCUCAGGAAAAGAUGGCCGCCGACCCAGCGCCACAGCACAAGUUGGCUGCCCGAUGCUGUUCCGGAGGCAGAGGUGGUGCCCGAUGCCGAGGCGGUGCCCGAUGGUGUUCUGGAGGUCGAGGUGGUGCCCGAUGCUGUUCUGGAGGUCGAGGUGGUGCCCGAUGCCGAGGCGGUGCCCGAUGCUGUUCCGGAGGCCGAGGUGGUGCCCGAUGCGGUGCCCGAUGCUGUUCUGGAGGCCGAGACGGUGACCGAUGCUGUUCCGGAGGACGAGGAGGUGCUCGAUGCUGUUCCAGAGGUCGAGGCGGGGGCCGAUGCUGUUCCGGAGGCCGAGGUGGUGCCCGAUGCUGUUCUGGAGGCCGAGGCGGUGACCGAUGCUAUUCCAGAGGCCGAGGCGGUGCCCGAUGUCGAGGCGGUUCCGGAGGCCGAGGCGGUGACCGAGGCGGUUCCGGAGGCCGAGGCGGUGACCGAGGCCGUUCCCGAUGCAGUGUCCGAGGCCGCUCCCGAUGCCUUGUCCACAGCGGUGCCCAAGACCGUUCCAGAGACAGUGCCCGAAGCCAAGGCGCCUCAGGUCUUCACAGACAGUCCAGAGUCUAUUCCGGUUCCUGUGAACUCUCCAGAGUCGAGUCAGGUUCCGGUGGACUCUCGGGAGUCGAGUCAGGUUCCGGGGGACUCUCGGGAGUCGAGUCAUGUUCCCGUGGACUCUCGGGAGUCGAGUCAUGUUCCGGGGGACUCUCAGGAGUCGAGUCAUGUUCCGGGGGACUCUCGGGAGUCGAGUCAUGUUCCGGGGGACUCUCAGGAGUCGAGUCAUGUUCCGGGGGACUCUCAGGAGUCGAGUCAUGUUCCGGGGGACUCUCAGGAGUCGAGUCAGGUUCCGGGGGGCUCUCAGGAGUCGAGUCAGGCUCCGGUGGACUCUCCAGAGUCGAGUCAGGCAUUUGUGGACCCUCCAGAGCCAGGACCAGUCACCGAUGACCCUCCAGAGCCAGGGCCAGUCACUGAUUACCCUCCAGAGCCAAGUCAAGUCACUGGGUGGUCUGCUGCUCCGUUCUGGGGGACUCCAGCCUCAACCAUGGGGGCGUGUUGGUCAUCUGCUCCGCCCUGGGGGACUCCGACAUUGACCACGAGGACAUGGUGGUCAUCUGCUCCGCCCUGGGGGACUCCGACUUUGACCACGAGGACGUGGUGGUCAUCUGCUCCGCCCUGGGGGACUCCGAUGUUGACCACGAGGACGUGGUGGUCGUCCGCUCCACCCUGGGGGACUCUGGCGGCGACCACGUGGACGUGGUGGUCUUCCGCUCCGCCCUGGAGGGCUCUGGCUUUGACUACAAGGCCGUGGUGGUCGUCCGCUCCGCCCUGGAGGGCUCUGGCCUUGACCACGAGGAUGUGGUGGUCAUCUGCUCCACCCUGGGGGACUCCGUGGUUGACCACAAGGACGUGGUGGUCAUCCGCUCCGCCCUGGAGGGCUCUGGCUUUGACCACAAGGCCGUGGUGGUCUUCCGCUCCGCCCUGGAGGGCUCUGGCUUUGACCACAAAUCCGUGGUGA